CAGAUUUUAAAGAUGUUUGACA
rnacentral:miRNA from 1 species